rnacentral:rRNA from 1 species
AGAGUUUGAUCCUGGCUCAGGAUGAACGCUAGCGGGAGGCCUAACACAUGCAAGCCGAGCGGUAGAUUACUUUCGGGUAAUUGAGAGCGGCGUACGGGUGCGGAACACGUGUGCAACCUGCCUUUAUCAGGGGGAUAGCCUUUCGAAAGGAAGAUUAAUACCCCAUAUUAUAUUAUUCGGCAUCGGGUGAUAUUGAAAACUACGGUGGAUAGAGAUGGGCACGCGCAAGAUUAGCUAGUUGGUGAGGUAACGGCUCACCAAGGCGACGAUCUUUAGGGGGCCUGAGAGGGUGACCCCCCACACUGGUACUGAGACACGGACCAGACUCCUACGGGAGGCAGCAGUGAGGAAUAUUGGACAAUGGGUGGAAGCCUGAUCCAGCCAUCCCGCGUGCAGGAAGACGGCCCUAUGGGUUGUAAACUGCUUUUAUCUGGGGAUAAACCUACUUACGUGUAAGUAGCUGAAGGUACCAGAAGAAUAAGCACCGGCUAACUCCGUGCCAGCAGCCGCGGUAAUACGGAGGGUGCAAGCGUUAUCCGGAUUUAUUGUGUUUAAAGGGUCCGUAGGCGGACUGAUAAGUCAGUGGUGAAAUCCGACAGCUUAACUGUCGAACUGCCAUUGAUACUGUUAGUCUUGAGUAAGGUUGAAGUGGCUGGAAUAAGUAGUGUAGCGGUGAAAUGCAUAGAUAUUACUUAGAACACCAAUUGCGAAGGCAGGUCACUAAGUCUUAACUGACGCUGAUGGACGAAAGCGUGGGGAGCGAACAGGAUUAGAUACCCUGGUAGUCCACGCCGUAAACGAUGAUUACUCGUUUUUGGGUUUUAUGAUUCAGAGACUAAGCGAAAGUGAUAAGUAAUCCACCUGGGGAGUACGUUCGCAAGAAUGAAACUCAAAGGAAUUGACGG